GGCGUUUUACUCUGUCCGCAUGGGACGGGGUUGAAAGCUCCGGCGGUGAAGGAUGAGCCCGCGGCCUAUCAGCUUGUUGGUGGGGUAAUGGCCUACCAAGGCGACGACGGGUAGCCGGCCUGAGAGGGCGACCGGCCACACUGGGACUGAGACACGGCCCAGACUCCUACGGGAGGCAGCAGUGGGGAAUAUUGCACAAUGGGCGAAAGCCUGAUGCAGCGACGCCGCGUGAGGGAUGACGGCCUUCGGGUUGUAAACCUCUUUCAGCAGGGAAGAAGCGAAAGUGACGGUACCUGCAGAAGAAGCGCCGGCUAACUACGUGCCAGCAGCCGCGGUAAUACGUAGGGCGCAAGCGUUGUCCGGAAUUAUUGGGCGUAAAGAGCUCGUAGGCGGCUUGUCACGUCGGAUGUGAAAGCCCGGGGCUUAACCCCGGGUCUGCAUUCGAUACGGGCUAGCUAGAGUGUGGUAGGGGAGAUCGGAAUUUCCUGGUGA
rnacentral:rRNA from 1 species